UACGGGGGGCAAGCGUUGUUCGGAAUUACUGGGCGUAAAGGCCAGUAGGCGGCCAACUAAGUCGGACGUGAAUCCCAGGCUCAACCUGGAACUGCGUCCGAUACUGGAUGGCUUGAAUUCGGGAGAGGGAUGCAGAAUUCCAGGUGUAGCGGUGAAUGACGUAGAUAUCUGGAGGAAUACCGGUGGCGAAGGCGGCAUCUGGACCGACGAUUGACGCUG
rnacentral:rRNA from 1 species